UGAUGGCCAGGCUGUCUCCACCCGAGACUCAGUGAAAUUGAACUCGCUGUGAAGAUGCAGUGUACCCGCGGCAAGACGGAAAGACCCCGUGAACCUUUACUAUAGCUUGACACUGAACAUUGAGCCUUGAUGUGUAGGAUAGGUGGGAGGCUUUGAAGUGUGGACGCCAGUCUGCAUGGAGCCGACCUUGAAAUACCACCCUUUAAUGUUUGAUGUUCUAACGUGGACCCGUGAUCCGGGUUGCGGACAGUGUCUGGUGGGUAGUUUGACUGGGGCGGUCUCCUCCUAAAGAGUAACGGAGGAGCACGAAGGUUGGCUAAUCCUGGUCGGACAUCAGGAGGUUAGUGCAAUGGCAUAAGCCAGCUUGACUGCGAGCGUGACGGCGCGAGCAGGUGCGAAAGCAGGUCAUAGUGAUCCGGUGGUUCUGAAUGGAAGGGCCAUCGCUCAACGGAUAAAAGGUACUCCGGGGAUAACAGGCUGAUACCGCCCAAGAGUUCAUAUCGACGGCGGUGUUUGGCACCUCGAUGUCGGCUCAUCACAUCCUGGGGCUGAAGUAGGUCCCAAGGGUAUGGCUGUUCGCCAUUUAAAGUGGUACGCGAGCUGGGUUUAGAACGUCGUGAGACAGUUCGGUCCCUAUCUGCCGUGGGCGCUGGAGAACUGAGGGGGGCUGCUCCUAGUACGAGAGGACCGGAGUGGACGCAUCACUGGUGUUCGGGUUGUCAUGCCAAUGGCACUGCCCGGUAGCUAAAUGCGGAAGAGAUAAGUGCUGAAAGCAUCUAAGCACGAAACUUGCCCCGAGAUGAGUUCUCCCUGACUCCUUGAGAGUCCUGAAGGAACGUUGAAGACGACGACGUUGAUAGGCCGGGUGUGUAAGCGCAGCGAUGCGUUGAGCUAACCGGUACUAAUGAACCGUGAGGCUUAACCUUACAACGCCGAAG
rnacentral:rRNA from 1 species